AACGAACGCUGGCGGCAUGCCUAACACAUGCAAGUCGAACGAGACCUUCGGGUCUAGUGGCGCACGGGUGCGUAACGCGUGGGAACCUGCCCUUAGGUUCGGAAUAACUCCCCGAAAGGGGUGCUAAUACCUGAUAAUGUCUUCGGACCAAAGAUUUAUCUCCUUUGGAUGGGCCCGCGUUGGAUUAGCUAGUUGGUAGGGUAAAAGCCUACCAAGGCGACGAUCCAUAGCUGGUCUGAGAGGAUGAUCAGCCACACUGGGACUGAGACACGGCCCAGACUCCUACGGGAGGCAGCAGUGGGGAAUAUUGGACAAUGGGCGAAAGCCUGAUCCAGCAAUGCCGCGUGAGUGAUGAAGGCCUUAGGGUUGUAAAGCUCUUUUACCCGGGAUGAUAAUGACAGUACCGGGAGAAUAAGCUCCGGCUAACUCCGUG
rnacentral:rRNA from 1 species